GGCUGCUGUUGUUUUUACCAUUGCGCUCGCCAAUCAUGCAAGUCGUAGCGAAUGCAAUUAAGAGCUUGCUCUUAUGAAGUUAGCGGCGGACGGGUGAGUAACACGUGGGUAACCUGCCCAUAAGACUGGGAUAACUCCGGGAAACCGGGGCUAAUACCGGAUAACAUUUUGAACCGCAUGGUUCGAAAUUGAAAGGCGGCUUCGGCUGUCACUUAUGGAUGGACCCGCGUCGCAUUAGCUAGUUGGUGAGGUAACGGCUCACCAAGGCAACGAUGCGUAGCCGACCUGAGAGGGUGAUCGGCCACACUGGGACUGAGACACGGCCCAGACUCCUACGGGAGGCAGCAGUAGGGAAUCUUCCGCAAUGGACGAAAGUCUGACGGAGCAACGCCGCGUGAGUGAUGAAGGCUUUCGGGUCGUAAAACUCUGUUGUUAGGGAAGAACAAGUGCUAGUUGAAUAAGCUGGCACCUUGACGGUACCUAACCAGAAAGCCACGGCUAACUACGUGCCAGCAGCCGCGGUAAUACGUAGGUGGCAAGCGUUAUCCGGAAUUAUUGGGCGUAAAGCGCGCGCAGGUGGUUUCUUAAGUCUGAUGUGAAAGCCCACGGCUCAACCGUGGAGGGUCAUUGGAAACUGGGAGACUUGAGUGCAGAAGAGGAAAGUGGAAUUCCAUGUGUAGCGGCGAAAUGCGUAGAGAUAUGGGAGGAACACAGUGGCGAAGGCGACUUUCUGGGUCUUGUACUGGACACUGAGGCUUAAGUUUUACCUCCUC
rnacentral:rRNA from 1 species